AUUGAACGCUGGCGGCAUGCCUACACAUGCAAGUCGAACGGUUUAUGGGGCUUGCUUCAUAGAUAGUGGCGGACGGGUGAGUAAUAUGUAGGAAUCUGCCUUGAGGUGGGGGAUAACUUGGGGAAACUCAAGCUAAUACCGCGUAAGUCGGGAACGAGAGAGCAGGGGAUCGAAAGACCUUGCGCCUUAAGAUGAGCCUACAUCGGAUUAGCUAGUUGGUGGGGUAAAGGCCUACCAAGGCGAUGAUCCGUAGCUGGUCUGAGAGGAUGACCAGCCACACUGGGACUGAGACACGGACCAGACUCCUACGGGAGGCAGCAGUAAGGAAUAUUGGUCAAUGGGCGCAAGCCUGAACCAGCCAUGCCGCGUGCAGGAAGACGGCCCUACGGGUUGUAAACUGCUUUUGUACCGGAAUAAACCUUCUUUCGUGAAAGAAGCUGAAUGUACGGUAAGAAUAAGGAUCGGCUAACUCCGUGCCAGCAGCCGCCGUAA
rnacentral:rRNA from 1 species